GUGCUUGCUUCAGUAGCACAUAUACUAAAAUUGGAAUGAUACAGAUAAUAUUAGCAUGGCCCCUGCACAAGGAGGACACACAAAUUCAUGAAACAUUCCAUAUUUUU
ensembl:snRNA U6 U6 spliceosomal RNA